GAAAGCCUGCUGGAACUCACCAACAUCUCCUGAUUGCAACUCAGAUACUUUAAUUAAGCUAAGACCUC
rnacentral:tRNA from 1 species